rnacentral:misc_RNA from 1 species
AAGAGUUGCAAAACUCCCUAAACCCUUGUGAAUCUACCUGUUUGUUGCUUCGGCAGGCAGCCCCAGGGCGGGGCUAUGGCCUGUUUUCAGGUGCCUGCCGAAGGUUUUUCAAAACUCGUUUUUACCGGUUAUCUGAGUAUCAAGAAAAUAAAUCA